rnacentral:lncRNA from 1 species
UGACACCAUGACCAAGCUCCGCAGUGACAUCAGAGGAAGUGAUUUCUCCUUUCACGGUCUCUCUGCCCAUUUCCCUGCCCUACCCACACUCCCCUGUAUUACCCAGCACUUGGAGGCUGGCGUAAGUGCCUUGCACACUGGCUUCUGCGGUUUUCUCCGCCUCCCGGGCUGUCCCAGCUGAGUCCUGGACGUCAGAGCUCCCUCGCACCUGUUCUUCGCCAAACUCCCAGCGCGUGGAGAGGGCCUCGGCGGUCCCUGCGGAGAUAGAUAAUUGAAAGCUGGAGCUGGGAAGUUGAAAUGCAAUUAUCUAAGCAACAUCUUCACAUCUGUUUCUGUCUGAGGAAUUCUGCCUUCACAAAUCCCAAGAGAUGGCCUUAUAAAGAUCUGCUCAGCAGUGGCAAAAGCUAGGUUGCCUGAGUCUUUAGGGAAGACCCUCAUACCUGUACCUCCCUCGACAGAUCUAUGCAACUCUAACACAACAAACAGAUAAGUCUACUAAUUACUCACUCUAUUAAUUAUUUCACUUUUUU